UAAGCGGAGGAAAAGAAACCAACAGGGAUUGCCCCAGUAACGGCGAGUGAAGCGGCAAGAGCUCAAAUUUGAAAGCUGGCUCCUUCGGGGUCCGCAUUGUAAUUUGUAGAGGAUGCUUCGGGAGCGGUCCCCAUCUAAGUGCCCUGGAACGGGACGUCAUAGAGGGUGAGAAUCCCGUAUGGGAUGGGGUGUCCGCGCCCGUGUGAAGCUCCUUCGACGAGUCGAGUUGUUUGGGAAUGCAGCUCUAAAUGGGUGGUAAAUUUCAUCUAAAGCUAAAUAUUGGCCGGAGACCGAUAGCGCACAAGUAGAGUGAUCGAAAGAUGAAAAGCACUUUGAAAAGAGAGUUAAAAAGCACGUGAAAUUGUUGAAAGGGAAGCGCUUGCGACCAGACUCGCUCGCGGGGUUCAGCCGGCAUUCGUGCCGGUGUACUUCCCCGCGGGCGGGCCAGCGUCGGUUUGGGCGGUCGGUCAAAGGCCCUCGGAAGGUAACGCCCCUAGGGGCGUCUUAUAGCCGAGGGUGCAAUGCGACCUGCCUAGACCGAGGAACGCGCUUCGGCUCGGACGCUGGCAUAAUGGUCGUAAACGACCCGUCUUGAAACACGGACCA
rnacentral:rRNA from 1 species